AUGUACCUCUGCAUUGACGUCCUCCCAUGGGCCUGUCCAGCAGGAACAAGCAGCUCCUGGAGGCGUGGUCAGCUCAUCGAGCACUUAGACCCACUGAUGGUGGUCUCCAGGCCGUGUAACAAAACUCCAUGCUCACCAUUCCGGCGUUCGGCACACAAAAAGCUUUUUGACAACCACGAUGCAUCAGCUUCGACACCACCUCAUCUCCCUGCCUCCUUGCCAGCCCACGUCCAGCGCAGCUGGGACCCACCGAUCCCCCCCGUCUCCCUCUCCUGCCCCCCGAGGUGCCUCUCUGCAGCCCGUGCCACCUGUCUCCAAAGCAACCAACCACUUCUGCGGGGAGCGGAGCUGCCUCUCGCUGCCGCCCACGCGCCAUGCCUCCCGUCACGGCUCUUCUCCAUCGCCAUAGAAACCGGCCCCCCUCUGCGGUCCCACCGAGUCCGACCUGGUAUUUGCUUGAUCGAUCUCCGUACUUUAUUCCCAGCGCUGAUGCCAGCUUCUAAGAAUAGAAGCACCUUGCAGGUUAUAUCCCCCGCCAGGGCCGAGCUGCUUCUCGUUCGUGUGUGCGCGAGUGUGGAGGGGGUGGGUUUGGGUUUGUUUCCCUCAGUUCUAGAAACAGCAAGAAAUAAGUUUGCGUCUUGCCACCACUUGCACAAAAAACGUUUAGGUCUACCUGGGAGCUGAAACAUUUGUUUCACAUUUGGUUUUAAUGGCUUAAUCCCUCAGGUAGCAACAAGGGACAGAGGUGACAGCUGAAGAUUAUAUUGCUUUUUUCCUUCUGCCUCUUUAAUUCCCUUCAAAGCAGGUUAGUUCCCAGGACGAGAUGAUAUUACUUUUCCGAACUUCUCAAGGUUUCCAGGAGGCUGAGAACAAUCCCAUUAACCACUCCUUGCUUCCCACCAGCACCCCUGACCAAACAGCACAAGUCUGUUUUGUUUGGAAAUCUGGAAGAGAUCUGGAAAUCUGGAGGAGACCCGACACGUGCCAAGACACUCGCAUCCCCUCCGAGCCCUGGGGAAACCUCAGAUUUGGGCCAGGUCUUCCCCACUUGGAAGGUAAGAGAAGACGCAGGUGGGUGAACGUCUGGCCUGUCUGCACCAGACCCACCUCGCUCCAAAUUUCGGAGUGUGAGAAUGAAGUCUCCUCCUUACUCUUGGCAUUGAUGAAAAUCUCACCCCAGCUCUGCGUCCUGUUUCUUCCUGCUGUGUUUCUUGGUUGUAUAUGAGAGGUUGGUGGGAACAUGCAAGGAAACGAGGAGGCAAUAUUGGUUAUAGAGCCUGUUUAGUAUGCACUGCUUUCUCCCUAUUAAAUUAACCUUAUACCCUAAUCACAUCAUCUCUCAAUCUCUCUUGUUACCAUAAACCAAACAGAUUGAACUACUCAUGGGUAAUGACUUUUUUUCCAAGCCCUCGUAUCAUUCCUGUGGCUCUUCUCUUCACCCCUUCUGCAUUGUGCAUUCCCAGGAGCAAUUUCAGCCUCUCAGCAUGAGCAUCCUUGGCUUCAGCUUCACUUUCGCAUCCCACUCCAGUUUGAUAACUCUAAGUCAGAAGGUUCACGGUUUUUGCAUUUUGCCUCUGCGAUUAAAAGCUCCUCAUGACGGGGGGCGAAAUUACGGGGCGCUGCCUUCAUUUGGAAUUACUGAGCUGAUCUUCACUCUUCACCUGGUGCGAAUUAAUCUCUCAGG
ensembl:lncRNA